ensembl:lncRNA
CUAUUUUAAUUGUUUUUGUAUAUCUUUAUAUAUCUUUGUGUAUAUUUAUGUCCCCAUUUGAAAGCUACAGGAAGUACUCUACGUGUGUUUUCUCUGCGACAGUUGUCUGCAGGCAUGCCGAAAUGCCUUGGAGGUGGCACUGAGGACCCUUAGAGCUCAGGAAGAUGAGAAGGAGGCCAAGCAGUCACGGUUAAAGUGUAUCGGUGGCUUCAUGAGAUAUAAACCCGCUUCAGACUGAAUCUGUGUCCUUCAAAUGAGACCCAGCUGAAAUCUGUUUCACAUUAGCUAGCUGCUCCAGGACUGAUAUCUGUAGCAGAAGCGACAGCUCAGGCAGAGAUGGUCACCCCUUUCCCAGCAGCCCCUGCUUCUGCUCUCAUCAACUCCAUUGCCCACUGCUGACAAAAUGGGCUUAUUUGACUCCUCACCCCAUGGCACAGAUGAAUAAUUCACCUCGCCACUGCACUGCUGGGGAGGCACAGGCAGGUUUGCAUUUGACAGAGCGUGGACAGUGGAUUAUGGGAUUGUGCAGAGGUGCUUCACUCCCAGCCUGUCCAAGAGAAAGGACUUCAAACUGCAGCUGGGCCCGCUGAAGCCCGGCUUUGGUAGAACGACACAAUGCUGCUGGUAUUAUAGCAAGGAUAGUGCAUGGAAAAAAAGCAGAUCUAAGUGCUAUAUGUACUCUUUUUGUAUCGAGAGGCUUCUCUAUAUGUAGUUGCAUUGAAAACGUAGACAAUAGUGACACAGGUACUGAUUCGGUCAGUUUGCUACUUAAUUUGGGUAAAGAGUAGCUUGUUCUAAAAAUCUGUCUACUUCUAGGGCAGCACCUUAACUGUUAUAGAACCACAUAAGUGACUGAUUUUAAACACUGUACAUAAAAUAUUUGGUGCUCUAAAUGGGAUAUUCACACUUGAUUUCAGCUGAGUUGUAUGUAAGCAUGUUAGUAAGUUACUGGACCUAUACUUUAAUAGACUACAAAAGUCGGGUUCUUGAAGUAAAACUCAUUCAUUUUCUCCAUAGGAGAACUGUUUUCUAACAAUAACUUAUAAACUGUUAAAAAGCUGUGACUUACUUUCAGCUACAAGGUUACCUACAAGGUACAAGGUAAUCUGUGGUAUAUGCUGUUGUUGAAGCCAUCAGCCAGCAUUCAACUUUUUUGCUUUUAAAUAAGAUUAUAAUGUUGUGAUUUGCCCAUAGUAGCUGGAGUCUUAAAACUAUGUAACUAUUGUUAUUUUCAUAUCAUUAAGAUACUAUUAUACACUAGAAAAUGAAUGGUGUAGAAACUAUUUUUCACUCAGAAAUUUCUACUAUAUUUCUACAGUUACAAAAGAAUACAAAUAUAAAUAAAUAAAUAAAUAAAUAAAUAAAAAUGACA